rnacentral:rRNA from 1 species
AGUCCGMAUUCGCCCUUCUUGGUCAUUUAGAGGAAGUAAAAGUCGUAACAAGGUUCUCGAGGAACAACACCUGCCGAAGCCUUGGAUACCACCAGUCUACUUAGUAGGCAACAUCUUCAAUGUGCUUGGAUACCAUCAUGGUAACAUGCAGUGCUGAUAGCAGUUCACAGAUCAAACGAAGGUGGUCCAAAAACAGCUAACCCUGUCUUGGAUUCAGAUAUGACCGGCCUACUUCUGAAAAGGCUGUAGCCAUGUGUUCCGUAGGUGAACCUGCGGAAGGAUCAUUACAGAGAAAUUGCCCUUGGGGUAGAUCUCCCACCCUUUGUUUACAUUACCUUUGUUGCUUUGCAGGCCCGUCUUUUGACCACCGGCUUAGGCUGGUCUGUGCCUGCCAGAGACCCUAAACUCUUGAUUUUUUGUGUUGUCUGAGUAAUAUAACAAAUAAUUAAAACUUUCAACAACGGAUCUCUUGGUUCUGGCAUCGAUGAAGAACGAGCGAAAUGCGAUAAGUAAUGUGAAUUGCAGAAUUCAGUGAAUCAUCGAUCUUUGAACGCACAUUGCACCCUCUGGUAUUCCGGGGGGUAUGCCUGUUGAGCGUCAUUUCAACCCUCAAGCCUAGCUUGGUAUUGGGUGUUACCAGGAAUGGUACACCUUAAAAUCAGUAGCGGCGCCAUCUGGCUUCAAGCAUAGAAAACUUUUGCUUUGGAGGUUUUGAUGUGUGCUUGCUAUCAACCCCCUAUUUAUCAAAGGUUGACCUCAGAUCAGGUAGGGAUACCCGCUGAACUUAACAUAUCAAUAAGCGGAGGA